rnacentral:rRNA from 1 species
AAAUCCGCUUACCGCAAAGGCUGAGCUGUGAUGGGGAAGCUCCUUAUGGAGCGAAGUCUUCGAUUCCCCGCUGCCAAGAAAAGCUUCUAGCGAGAUAAAAGGUGCCUGUACCGCAAACCGACACAGGUAGGCGAGGAGAGAAUCCUAAGGUGAGCGAGAGAACUCUGGUUAAGGAACUCGGCAAAAUGACCCCGUAACUUCGGGAGAAGGGGUGCUUUCUUAACGGAAAGCCGCAGUGAAUAGGCCCAAGCGACUGUUUAGCAAAAACACAGGUCUCUGCGAAGCCGUAAGGCGAAGUAUAGGGGCUGACACCUGCCCGGUGCUGGAAGGUUAAGGAGAGGGGUUAGCGUAAGCGAAGCUCUGAACUGAAGCCCCAGUAAACGGCGGCCGUAACUAUAACGGUCCUAAGGUAGCGAAAUUCCUUGUCGGGUAAGUUCCGACCCGCACGAAAGGUGUAACGAUUUGGGCACUGUCUCAACCAGAGACUCGGUGAAAUUAUAGUACCUGUGAAGAUGCAGGUUACCCGCGACAGGACGGAAAGACCCCGUGGAGCUUUACUGUAGCCUGAUAUUGAAUUUUGGUACAGCUUGUACAGGAUAGGCGGGAGCCUUUGAAGCCGGAGCGCUAGCUUCGGUGGAGGCGCUGGUGGGAUACCGCCCUGGCUGUAUUGAAAUUCUAACCUACGGGUCUUAUCGACCCGGGAGACAGUGUCAGGUGGGCAGUUUGACUGGGGCGGUCGCCUCCUAAAGUGUAACGGAGGCGCCCAAAGGUUCCCUCAGAAUGGUUGGAAAUCAUUCGUAGAGUGCAAAGGCAUAAGGGAGCUUGACUGCGAGACCUACAAGUCGAGCAGGGACGAAAGUCGGGCUUAGUGAUCCGGUGGUUCCGCAUGGAAGGGCCAUCGCUCAACGGAUAAAAGCUACCCCGGGGAUAACAGGCUUAUCUCCCCCAAGAGUCCACAUCGACGGGGAGGUUUGGCACCUCGAUGUCGGCUCAUCGCAUCCUGGGGCUGUAGUCGGU